rnacentral:rRNA from 1 species
UAGGGAAUAUUAGAAAUGGACGAAAGUCUGAUCUAGCAACACCGCGUGUGCGAAGAAGGCCUUCGGGUUGUAAAGCACUUUUUGGAAGGAUUAGGAAGGAAUGUACUUCCAGAAUAAGUCUCGGCUAACUACGUGCCAGCAGCCGCGGUAACACGUAGGAGGCAAACGUUAUCCGGAUGUACUGGGCGUAAAGCGCGUGUAGGUGGUUCGGUAAGUAGGGCGUGAAAGCUCCUGGCUCAACUGGGAGAGGGCGGUCUAAACUGCAGGGCUAGAGGAUGGUAGAGGGAGGUGGAAUUCCGGGUGUAGCGGUGGAAUGCGCAGAUAUCCGGAGGAACACCAGUGGCGAAAGCGGCCUCCUGGACCAUUCCUGACACUCAGACGCGAAAGCUAGGGUAGCAAACG